rnacentral:SRP_RNA from 1 species
GUACUGGUGGCGAGGGAGCUGUUCGAGCAAACAGCCCGGGCACAGCUCCGUACCCACAACGUUCAGCGUGAACUCCAGGUUGUGC